rnacentral:rRNA from 1 species
GAUGAACGCUGGCGGCGUGCCUAAUACAUGCAAGUCGAGCGAACAGACGAGGGGCUUUCUCCUCUGACGUUAGCGGCGGACGGGUGAGUAACACGUGGAUAACCUACCUAUAAGACUGGGAUAACUUCGGGAAACCGGAGCUAAUACCGGAUAAUAUAUUGAACCGCAUGGUUCAAUAGUGAAAGACGGUUUUGCUGUCUCUUAUAGAUGGAUCCGCGCCGCAUUAGCUAGUUGGUAAGGUAACGGCUUACCAAGGCAACGAUGCGUAGCCGACCUGAGAGGGUGAUCGGCCACACUGGAACUGAGAAACGGUCCAGACUCCUAAGGGAGGCAGCAGUGGGGAAUCUUACGCAAUGGGCGAAAGCGUGACGGAGCAACGCCGCGUGAGUGAUGAAGGUCUGAGGAUCGUAAAACUAUGUUAUUAGGGAAGAACAAAUGUGUAAGUAAAUAUGCACGUCUUGACGGUACCUAAUCAGAAAGCCACGGCUAACUACGUG